UGCAUGGUGGCGCAGUUGGUAGCACUGUUCAGCAAGAAGGUCCUGGGUUCGACUCCUGGUCAGGAGUCUUUCUGCAU